AGUGCUGAGCCCUGGGCAAGUGUCUCCAGACAUCCCUACCUUUUCUCCCUUUUAUUAGUCUUCUUUCCCAACAGAACCCAUUUCCUUUGCCACUAAAACUAGGUUGCAUCCAAAAGUUUCUAAACAAGCUUUAAAAAGAAAAAAAUGACACCAUUAUACAGAAGAAUUCACAAAAGCUGCAGAGCACCAGGGCAGAGAAGCAGCGACAGACACAGGCCCAGGACACACAGGACGGAUGCUUCCAAGUCACUCGAGGGACACCUGUGUCUCAUGCCUGUGUCUCAGAAGUUGCUUCCCCUGCCUCUGCUCUGUGAAUUUCCCAAACUCUCUAACUCUGAUUCAUCUUCAUUCACUCUUCUCUGUAGUUUGUGUGUAAAGAGCCCUUAAAGCCCUUAAAGCAAUACGGUGGAGGGUUAGAGUUGUGAGCCGGUGGCAGGCAAGGCCUAAACUUGGUGGUACAGCAAAGGAAAUUUCGUGGUACUUGCUCCUGAGUCUGGGAAUCACAGGCUAUCCAGCCUCUCCCCUAUUACUAAGAAACAGUAGAACUUAGGGAAAUGGAUGAUUCCACGUUUAAGAGGCUUGAAAUUGUAUACUUGGCAUUUCUGAUUUCGGCUCUAAGAUUCUGUCCCUUCGCCCUAGAGAAAAUGAGAAAUGUAGUUACAACUUUUCAUUACAAAAACGUUGCAUUAAGAGAAAUGGAGAAUCAUGCCCACAUAAAACAUGUAUAAAAGUGUUCGUGAUUUGAUCAGGGCUGGGGAUAUAGCUCAGUCAUGGGGCGCUUGCACAGCCAUGUGCAUAACCCAAGGUUCAAGCCCCAGCACUGACAAAGAGAAGCAGAAGGAGCAGAGGUAUUCACAGCAGCCUUUUCCAUAUAGGCAUGAAAGGGAGAGUUUAAGUGCCGGUUGAGGAAUGGAGAGUGUAAAAUGGCUUGUCUAUAAAACUGGAUUCUGGUCAUCAGUAGAGAGGUUUGAAGUGAUCGAUAUGGUGGAUGAGUCUUUAAACUUCUUCUUAAGUCAUGAAGCCAACCAGAAGGAAAGGCAGAUACUCCGUAUCUCUGGAGUACAUAGGCAUACCAUUGUAGAGAAAAAGCACCAUACUUGUUACCUGGACGUGGAGUGAUGAACAGACUUUGGGAGACAGCAGAGUGGAACAGGAUUUACUUGAGCGGUGAUAAAAAAAAUGUUCUUGAAUGAACUCAAGUGAUGCUUGCUCCACUUGAUCGCUGCGUUAAAAAAACCACUGAAUUUUACCUUUGGAUGGGUGAAUCAAAUGGUACAUUCAUUACAGUUCAAUAAAGCCAUGAAUAU
rnacentral:lncRNA from 1 species